UACGAACGCUGGCGGCGUGCUUAACACAUGCAAGUCGAACGGAAAGGCCCUGCUUUUGUGGGGUGCUCGAGUGGCGAACGGGUGAGUAACACGUGAGUAACCUGCCCUUGACUUUGGGAUAACUUCAGGAAACUGGGGCUAAUACCGGAUAGGAGCUCCUGCUGCAUGGUGGGGGUUGGAAAGUUUCGGCGGUUGGGGAUGGACUCGCGGCUUAUCAGCUUGUUGGUGGGGUAGUGGCUUACCAAGGCUUUGACGGGUAGCCGGCCUGAGAGGGUGACCGGCCACAUUGGGACUGAGAUACGGCCCAGACUCCUACGGGAGGCAGCAGUGGGGAAUAUUGCACAAUGGGCGGAAGCCUGAUGCAGCAACGCCGCGUGCGGGAUGACGGCCUUCGGGUUGUAAACCGCUUUCGCCUGUGACGAAGCGUGAGUGACGGUAAUGGGUAAAGAAGCACCGGCGAACUACGU
rnacentral:rRNA from 1 species